rfam:Phialophora attae strain CBS 131958 Contig78, whole genome shotgun sequence.
AUAAUGGUAAGCAAGUGAAAGAUAAAUCUAACUAGCUCAGCUGGUUUUCCGCGAAACCUAUCUAAGUAGGUAAUUUAAUAAAUAUCUUAAAAGGUACAGAAUUGUGAUCUCGUUCAAACUACAAAGUUUGUUUACACCGGGAGAUCGUGAAGAUUUUAUCGGAGAGUAUUUGCACUCGGAAGGUUUAAGAUCAAUAUUAAAUAGUCCGACAUAGUACGCUAAGGUUGUAUGUCAAAAGGGAAACAGCCCAGAACAAGUGUUAAUAAGGUUCCAAAAUUAUUAUUAAGUGAAAUUAAGGAUGUAUCUUUUAAAACGAUCAGAUAAUAGACUUAGAAGCGGCCAUUUUUUGAAGAUCUCGUAACAGAGCACUGGUUGGUUUAUUAUGAUAUUAUCAUAAUAAAGAAGACAGCACCGACAAUAUAGCGGAUCUAAAUAAUAUACCGAAACCUUGUCCAUUUAUUAUGAUAUAAUAUUUGGGGUAGCGGAACAUUGGAUAAACGUAACUUAAUCUUUUAUAUUUUAAGUUAUUCAGGUAGAACAUUUAUUGUAAUAUCCUGUAAGUGAUUUCCAAACGAUAAUGCCGACAUGAGUAACAACAAAGAUAAAUCUCGCCUUAAGCUUAUGGACAUUGGAAUUAAAUUAUUACGGCUUCUAAGGUAAAUUUAUUACCGAUGAAAAGGAUUCAUUUAAACUAUUUAAAGUUAAAAUAGUUCAGGAAAAAAUGGUCUAUCUAUACACCGUUCCUAAAUAGCACUAACACAAGUAAGCAAGUAGAGAAUACGAAGGCGAUUGAGAUGUCAAUCAUUAAGGAACUCGGCAAAUUGACUCACGUAACUUCGGGAUAAGGUGAGCCAUACUUUAAGGUUAAUAAAUAUUAAUCCUAGGUAGAGGAAGCAUGGAAUAGUGUUGUACGACUGUUUAUCUAAAACAAAGCACUCUGCUAAGAUAUAUAUCUAUAUAUAGAGUGUGAUAUCUGCCCCGUGUCGGAAGGGUAACGAAUAUGCUUUUUAACUUAAAAUUUAAGAUCAUUAAGGAAACCCCGAUAAACGGCGGCCUUACCGAUGAGGGUCCUAAGGUAGCGGAAUACCCUGGCCGUUAAAUGCGGUCUUGCAUGAAUGAUUUAACGAUACAACAGCUGUCUCGAUGAUUGUCUCAGUGAAAUUGGAAUAGCAGUGCAGAUACUGCUUACCUCUAGAUAGACGGGAAGACCCUAUGCAGCUUUACUGCUACUAACUUAGGUCUAACACGUAUUAUUGUUAAGGGUAUAACCUGAGAACAAGUUAAUGUUCUGUCUUGAUUUACUAUAUAUUUCCUUUUCCAUAUUUUACAAACCUAGACCACCAUGGUUAGAGGGCAGUUUAUGCGGGGCACAGAUCCCAAAAAAAGUAACUGGGUAUAUCCAAUAUUCUAAUCGUAAAUACACUUUAAUAACAAAUAUAUAACGAGGUGUGUAUCACCUGUAUAUAUUUUCUAUUAAAAUAUUUAAUUUGCAAUAAUUUAUUUUAAUAAUUAUUCAGUUACGUGUUGUAGUAAAAAUAACAUAUUUUUUAUUUUUAGGUAGGAUUUUAACUAUAUGGUAAAUAGUAGUGUAAAAAAAAUAUAUUAUAUAUAUACAUAUAUUUUAUGUGCAAGAUUCAAAAUCUUUCAAUGAAAUUAACUUAUACUUUCGAAGUUUAAUGGCUAAAUCUUGCCUUACUGUCAGACCUACAAGUCCAUCAGUCGCGUAAGCGGGGCAUAUGAUCACAAGACACGGUAAGGAAUGGUCUUGGAUUCUUGAAAAAGUUACGCUAGGGAUAACAGGCUAAUGAGCGCAAGAGAGUACAAAUUGAGUGCGCGGUUUGGCACCUCGAUGUCGGCUUAACUCAUCCACAUGAACGCAGAAAUCAUGAAGGGUUCGACUGUUCGUCGAUUAAAGAGUCACAUGAGCUGGGUUCAAUACGUCGUGAGACAGUAUGGAUCCUAUCUUCUAGAGGAAAUUAAAGUAGAAUAAAGAUGGCCCCCUUGUACGAAAGGAACUGGGUACGUAGACCAAUAGUUUACUUGUUGUUAUUAAAUUUUAUUUAAUUAUAUAAAUUAACUAAUUUAUAGGUUAAGUACCGCGAGCGGCGCAACCCCGCUCGCGGGAUAAUAUACUUUUUCAGGGGUAUAUUGUUAUUUGAAAAGUAGCAUGGCAAGAAAGCCACGUCAAUUAAAUAUAAAUGCUGAAAGCAUAUCAAGCACGAAGCUUACUUUAUUAUAUUUUCUAAGUCGUAAUAGAACAUUACGAUAUAGGCUUUAGUUACAAGAACUUUGCUGUUCUCAGGCAUAAAGUACUAAUCUAUUUUACUUAAUUGU